GCACCCACCUUCUCUCAAAACCCUCCCAGCAUCUGUGAGGUCACUAGGGUUCUCUCUGUUCUACAAAUGACAAAAAGUGGCUCAGAGAAGUGCAAGGACUUGUCCAAGGUCAUCCGGAGUUUGGUUCAAGCCUAGGUCUCUCUGUGCCCUUGACCCUGUGUCUUAGCGACUCAUCUCAGGGCUGUUGGAAGAAGAGACUUCCAGUGACGCUGCCAUGGGAGCCAGCUCAUGGUCCAUCUUCUUUCUCUCUAGUAAUGACCAAAAUAGAUGCUGUGGCUGGAAUCAACUAUGGUCUGGUGGCACCUCCAGCAACCACGGCUGAGACCCUGGAUGUACAGAUGAAGUUAUUUGUUUGUUUCAAAACACAUUCAAUGUGAAAAAGAAACUUUAGAAACUGCAGAGGAAUGCAGAAAUAAAUAUAGGAAAGAAGAAAAAGAAAAAAAAAGAGAGAGAAGAAUUACCCGAGUCUACAACCUAGAGAUAAGCAUCAUCAAUAAAUAAGUGUAGAUCCCUCCAA
rnacentral:sRNA from 1 species